rnacentral:piRNA from 1 species
UGAACUUUCACUCCUGCUCUAAAACU